GACGAACGCUGGCGGCGUGCUUAACACAUGCAAGUCGAACGGAAAGGCCCUGCUUUUGUGGGGUGCUCGAGUGGCGAACGGGUGAGUAACACGUGAGUAACCUGCCCUUGACUUUGGGAUAACUUCAGGAAACUGGGGCUAAUACCGGAUAGGAGCUCCUGCUGCAUGGUGGGGGAUGGAAAGUUUCGGCGGUUGGGGAUGGACUAGCGGCUUAUCAGCUUGUUGGUGGGGUAGUGGCUUACCAAGGCUUUGACGGGUAGCCGGCCUGAGAGGGUGACCGGCCACAUUGGGACUGAGAUACGGCCCAGACUCCUACGGGAGGCAGCAGUGGGGAAUAUUGCACAAUGGGCGGAAGCCUGAUGCAGCAACGCCGCGUGCGGGAUGACGGCCUUCGGGUUGUAAACCGCUUUCGCCUGUGACGAAGCGUGAGUGACGGUAAUGGGUAAAGAAGCACCGGCUAACUACGUG
rnacentral:rRNA from 1 species